AAACGGGGUGUGGAUAAGGGUCAUAGUGUGUUCCAGCAGCGUGUCUGCAGGUUCCUCUCUCAGACCUCCCUUAGAGCCAUCACCCAUUGGCUGCCGCAGCUCAGGAGCCUGUUAGACCAAGAGGCCUAUCCCCCAACCGUCCACAUACCUGCCUCCUGCCUGGACAGUUUUAUCUCUGUCAACUCAGACAAAAUGGCUGUGAAGAGGACCUUCGGUCUGAACCCAGGCUUCUACUGGCAGACUGUGGAGACUCAGGAGCUCAGCUGUCAGAGGCCUGAGACCAUGUGCACUCAGCAGCUACACACAGAGCUAGCUGUUGCUCUGGGAUACACGUCUUUGUUCCUGCAUCCCCUGGUGGUUCACCACACCCUCCAGCUUCUCCACACCUCAGGCCUGGAUGUGUGUGGCCUCCGCCUCCUUUACCCUCCUCCUGGCCUUCUGACCAACAGCGCCGGCAGGGUAUCCUACGGGCAGGGAGAUGAUGGGGCCGAUGAGCCCGUCCUUGCCCUGGCUGUCCGAGGGCCUCACGCCUGCACUGUGUGGCAGGAUGUAACAGGCCCUUCAGACCCCCUGCUGGCUAGGAAGACAGACCCGGCAUCCAUCAACGCCCUGCACUACAGCAGCAAGAACUUGCCCCUCCUCUACUCCCCUCGCCUGGCCAGCAGUGUGCACAGGGAACUGGUCACGUGGUUCGCAGGGAGAGUUCCAGGGAAUCAUUUCCAGAACCCUGACCAGGCUCCAACUGACAGCUCUGCCCCUGGUGAUGGAGAGGGAAGCAGCCCCUUGUAUUUAUCCAGGUCCUCUACCACCCUGUGUGCUACUGUUAAAGUGGACGUGUUCUUGAUAGUGUCUCCAGCGGUGGCGCCGUGCUGCUACAGCCGGGUUCUGUCUGUGUGUGAGGGCAGAGGGUUCAGUCUGAGGGGGGUCCAGAGGCUGCAGCUCCCCACCAAACGAACCCAGGCACUGGGACUCACCAGUCAGCAGGUGUCAGUGUUCUGCAGUCCGCCCACUGUUACUGUGGAUGAGAAGAAGGUUGAGCUGUCUUCCCACUGCCUGGUCUUACUUCUGAGGAGAGAGAGUGGCCUGCGUCACUGUGCCAGCCUGCCUGCAGCCCUUAUGAAAGAGUUGGAGAAGCAGAGGUUGUUGGGAUGUAUCCACAUCAGACUGUCAGAUGAAGGAAAGCUGGACCCGAGCAGCUGCUUUCACAUGUUGCCCUACAGAGAGAGCCUGCUCCAUAGCUUUGGUGGGCGAAUGUGGGCCGUACCCAACCCCUGCAAUGUGGUGCUGUCCAAUCACAGGUGUCCAUCCAACCCAGAGCUGGAGCAGGUGGUGGUGCUUACGCUGGCUGGAAGGGACAUCAGUCAGGGCCUGAGCCUGCUACACAGGCUCUGGACAGGGGACACAACAGGCGAUGUCGUGGAGGAUGGAUUCGAGCUGCUGGCCCUGAAGUGGCUGCCCACAUUGUCCCCGCAGCAGGCGCGGGAGGUGAGCCCCUAUGAGGUAGGAGACCGGCUGUGGCAGAGCAGCCUGGUGGGCCUGGCCUCCUCCCCUGCCCUGGUGUGUGCUCUGAGGAGGGUAGACGCCUUCGCCACCCUACGGCGGCUCCUGCCACGGGACUACCCCGGGAACCUGAACAUACUGUUGUCUCCCACUCCUGAACUGGCCUUCAGACAAGCGUCCCUCUUCUUCUCCCUGGGAGACAUGAUCCCUGAUCACAGUGUGCGCCCAUUACUGAAGUUCCUACCUCCACCUCGCAUUAAUGUAGCUGGUUCCCAGUGUGAGUCAUUGUUUAACUACAUGGUGCAGGGUCCCCAGCCGCUGGUCACACUGUGUCUGUUCAAGCCUGGAGUGUGGAGCCAUGCUCUGGGGAAAAUCCUCAGCAAAGUCCAGCGGAGUGGCUUCACUGUGGUGGGCCUGCAUGUGCUGGUUCUGGACAAUAGCACAGCUGUGUCACUGGCGUCUGCUGCAGAGCAUCAGGACCCCUCUGCUGUAGAAGCCCAUGUCCAGCACUUGAGCUCUGGGCCUUCCCUGGCUCUGUGCCUGCAGAGGGAGAAUGCUGUGAAGAGGCUACUGGACAUGCUGGGACCUGAGGACCCUGCCCAGGCCCGCGCUCAGGACCAAUUCCUCUGGAGGGCCGAUUACAGUUCGGACCAGCUACACAGCGGCAUCUAUGGAUCGAGGAGCUAUCAGAGAGCUGUUCAGGAUGUGAAGAGGCUGUUCCCUCAGGGCCUAUGCUGCACAGAGACCAACACCAUGAGACAGGAGCAGAUACCCAGUGUACACUCAGACCAUUUGGCUUGUCUGGCUCGUGAACAGAGCCACACUCUUGCUGCUGCGAACAAGCCAUCUUUAUCACACCUUAUGGCGUAUGGACUGAAUGGAGCAGGGCUCUUGGUCCGCAGUGCUCUCUGCCAAACCACCUGCCUGCUGCUGCCCACCAGUGUACUGGGCCCAGCCCCCAUCCACCUGGACCUGCUUGAGCAGCUGCUGAGGACAGGCUGCCACCUGGUGGCCGGGAGGAUGACUGUCCUGGACGAGACCCAGAGAUGUCACAUAGCUGAGAUACUGAUGCUACCCUCUGAGAGGGAUGGGAAGAUUUGUGCUCUACCCGAGGGCCCUUGUCUUAUCGUUGUUCUACAGAAGGAUAACGCUGUGACCUGCUUUGACUCCAUGCUUGAAAGUAUUUACAGAGAGAGGUCUAACCUUGCCAAAGUGGGGAAAAUGCUGAUAUAUCCCAGCACUGAAAAAAAAGCAUUGCAGCUUCUGUGCUAUCUAUUUGAUGUCCUGUCUCCUGAUAGUCAUCAUGCCAUUGUACCACAGCAAUCUGAGUGA
rnacentral:lncRNA from 1 species